UACGUAGGUGGCAAGCGUUGUCCGGAAUUAUUGGGCGUAAAGCGCGCGCAGGCGGUCCUUUAAGUCUGAUGUGAAAGCCCACGGCUCAACCGUGGAGGGUCAUUGGAAACUGGAGGACUUGAGUGCAGAAGAGAAGAGUGGAAUUCCACGUGUAGCGGUGAAAUGCGUAGAGAUGUGGAGGAACACCAGUGGCGAAGGCGACUCUUUGGUCUGUAACUGACGCUGAGGCGCGAAAGCGUGGGGAGCAAACAGGG
rnacentral:rRNA from 1 species